CCUACGGGAGGCAGCAGUAAGGAAUAUUGGUCAAUGGACGAAAGUCUGAACCAGCCAUGCCGCGUGAAGGAUUAAGGCCCUCUGGGUUGUAAACUUCUUUUAUCUGGGACGAAAAAAGGGUAUUCUUACUCACUUGACGGUACCAGAGGAAUAAGCACCGGCUAACUCCGUGCCAGCAGCCGCGGUAAUACGGAGGGUGCAAGCGUUAUCCGGAUUUACUGGGUUUAAAGGGUGCGUAGGUGGGCUUGUAAGUCAGUGGUGAAAUCUCCGGGCUUAACCCGGAAACUGCCAUUGAUACUAUAGGUCUUGAAUUAUCUGGAGGUAAGCGGAAUAUGUCAUGUAGCGGUGAAAUGCUUAGAUAUGACAUAGAACACCAAUUGCGAAGGCAGCUUACUACGGAUAUAUUGACACUGAGGCACGAAAGCGUGGGGAUCAAACAGGAUUAGAUACCCUGGUAGUCCACGCCCUAAACGAUGGAUACUCGACAUCAGCGAUACACUGUUGGUGUCUGAGCGAAAGCAUUAAGUAUCCCACCUGGGAAGUACGAUCGCAAGAUUGAAACUCAAAUGAAUUGACGG
rnacentral:rRNA from 1 species